rnacentral:rRNA from 1 species
GACGAACGCUGGCGGCGUGCUUAGCACAUGCAAGUCGAACGGAAAGGCCCUGCUUUUGUGGGGUGCUCGAGUGGCGAACGGGUGAGUAACACGUGAGUAACCUGCCCUUGACUUUGGGAUAACUUCAGGAAACUGGGGCUAAUACCGGAUAGGAGCUCCUGCUGCAUGGUGGGGGUUGGAAAGUUUCGGCGGUUGGGGAUGGACUCGCGGCUUAUCAGCUUGUUGGUGGGGUAGUGGCUUACCAAGGCUUUGACGGGUAGCCGGCCUGAGAGGGUGACCGGCCACAUUGGGACUGAGAUACGGCCCAGACUCCUACGGGAGGCAGCAGUGGGGAAUAUUGCACAAUAGGCGGAAGCCUGAUGCAGCAACGCCGCGUGCGGGAUGACGGCCUUCGGGUUGUAAACCGCUUUCGCCUGUGACGAAGCGUGAGUGACGGUAAUGGGUAAAGAAGCACCGGCUAACUACGUG